rnacentral:misc_RNA from 1 species
CUUUACCUUUUCCCUGUUUUUUCUACUUUUUUUUUGGAAAACUACAUCCAUUUGAAACACCAAUAAUAAUUCUGUUAAAGACAAAGUUUGUGAGAACAUGGUUAAUUAAUUACAACAAUUGCAUUCUGCCACACAUGGGGGAAAAAGAAGUAGAAAAAACAGGGAAAAGGUAAAGAAAAUUAUUAAGAAACAAGCAAUUGUCACCUUGCAUUGGUACCCCCUUGUCUAUUCAAGCGCCCAGAUGCUGGAUAA